rnacentral:snRNA from 1 species
GUCCUCACUUUAGCAGCCCGUAUACUAAAACUGGAACAAUACAGAGAAGAUUAGCAUGGCCCCUGUGCAAGGAUGACACACGACUUCAUGAAGUGUUUCAUAUUUUU